rnacentral:rRNA from 1 species
GUGGGGAAUCUUGCGCAAUGGGCGAAAGCCUGACGCAGCCAUGCCGAGUGAAUGAUGAAGGUCUUAGGAUUGUAAAAUUCUUUCACCGGGGACGAUAAUGACGGUACCCGGAGAAGAAGCCCCGGCUAACUUCGUGCCAGCAGCCGCGGUAAUACGAAGGGGGCUAGCGUUGCUCGGAAUUACUGGGCGUAAAGGGCGCGUAGGCGGACAGUUUAGUCAGAGGUGAAAGCCCAGGGCUCAACCUUGGAAUUGCCUUUGAUACUGGCUGUCUUGAGUACGGGAGAGGUGAGUGGAACUCCGAGUGUAGAGGUGAAAUUCGUAGAUAUUCGGAAGAACACCAGUGGCGAAGGCGACUCACUGGCCCGUUACUGACGCUGAGGCGCGAAAGCGUGGGGAGCAAACAGGAUUAGAAACCCGGGUAGUCC